rnacentral:rRNA from 1 species
UACGUAGGGUCCGAGCGUUGUCCGGAAUUACUGGGCGUAAAGAGCUCGUAGGUGGUUUGUCGCGUUGUUCGUGAAAACUCACAGCUCAACUGUGGGCGUGCGGGCGAUACGGGCAGACUUGAGUACUGCAGGGGAGACUGGAAUUCCUGGUGUAGCGGUGGAAUGCGCAGAUAUCUGGAGGAAUACCGGUGGCGAAGGCGGCAUCCUGGACCGACAUUGACGCUGAACGGCGAAAGCUAGGGGAGCAAACGGG